rnacentral:piRNA from 1 species
UGUUUGCUUUGGUGGGAGAAUUGGGCUC